AAAAAUAUAUCGAGAAGAAGAAGUAAAAAAGAGCGUGUCUUUAGAGAGACUGUGGGUGGUGAAAACAGUUGUCGGCCCUUUUUGAAAUGCAUCUUUGAAUAGUUUCAGUGAUACGUAGCUGAAAACGGCCAACAACCGUUAUCUGUUUUUGAGGCAGGGUGACCUGUGAAAAAAAGUGGAACCACGCGCAAGCGUCUUUUAA
rnacentral:ncRNA from 1 species